GAUGAAGAACGUAGCGAAAUGCGAUAAGUAGUGUGAAUUGCAGAAUUCAGUGAAUCAUCGAAUCUUUGAACGCACAUUGCGCCCGCCAGUAUUCUGGCGGGUAUGCCUGUCCGAGCGUCAUUUCAACCCUCGAGCCCCUCCGGGGGGUCGGCGUUGGGGAUCGGCCCCUCACCGGGCCGCCCCCGAAAUACAGUGGCGGUCUCGCCGCAGCCUCUCCUGCGCAGUAGUUUGCACACUCGCACCGGGAGCGCGGCGCGGCCACAGCCGUAAAACACCCCAAGCAUUCUGAAAUGUUGACCUCGGAUCAGGUAGGAAUACCCGCUGAACUUAAGCAUAUCAAUAAGCGGAGGA
rnacentral:misc_RNA from 1 species